rfam:Danio rerio chromosome 4, GRCz11 reference primary assembly.
GUCAGGAUGGCCGAGCGGUCUAAGGCACUGCGGUCAGGUUGCAGUCUCCUCUGGAGGCGUGGGUUCGAAUCCCACUUCUGACA